GACGAACGCUGGCGGCGUGCUUAACACAUGCAAGUCGGGCGGUAAGGCCCUUUCGGGGGUACACGAGCGGCGAACGGGUGGGUAACACGUGGGUGACCUGCCCUCAGCUCUGGGAUAAGCCUGGGAAACCGGGUCUAAUACCGGAUAUGACUCCAUGACGCAUGUUGUGGGGUGGAAAGCCUUGUGCGGCUGAGGAUGGGCCCGNGGCCUAUCAGCUUGUUGGUGGGGUGAUGGCCUACCAAGGCGACGACGGGUAGCCGGCCUGAGAGGGCGACCGGCCACACUGGGACUGAGACACGGCCCAGACUCCUACGGGAGGCAGCAGUGGGGAAUCUUGCGCAAUGGGCGAAAGCCUGACGCAGCGACGCCGCGUGAGGGAUGAAGGCCUUCGGUU
rnacentral:rRNA from 1 species